CCUAACACAUGCAAGUCGAACGGUAACAGGAAACAGCUUGCUGUUUCGCUGACGAGUGGCGGACGGGUGAGUAAUGUCUGGGAAACUGCCUGAUGGAGGGGGAUAACUACUGGAAACGGUAGCUAAUACCGCAUAACGUCGCAAGACCAAAGAGGGGGACCCUCGGGCCUCUUGCCAUCGGAUGUGCCCAGAUGGGAUUAGCUUGUUGGUGGGGUAACGGCUCACCAAGGCGACGAUCCCUAGCUGGUCUGAGAGGAUGACCAGCCACACUGGAACUGAGACACGGUCCAGACUCCUACGGGAGGCAGCAGUGGGG
rnacentral:rRNA from 1 species